UGAGGAAUAUUGGUCAAUGGGCGACAGCCUGAACCAGCCAUCCCGCGUGAAGGAAGAAUGCGCUAUGCGUUGUAAACUUCUUUUCCAGGGGGAUAAAACUAUGUACGUGUACAUAACUGAAGGUACCCUGGGAAUAAGCAUCGGCUAACUCCGUGCCAGCAGCCGCGGUAAUACGGAGGAUGCGAGCGUUAUCCGGAUUUAUUGGGUUUAAAGGGUGCGUAGGCGGGAUGAUAAGUCAGUGGUGAAAACCUGCAGCUUAACUGUAGACUUGCCGUUGAUACUGUUGUUCUUGAGUAUGGUCAAGGCAGGCGGAAUGUGUAAUGUAGCGGUGAAAUGCUUAGAUAUUACACAGAACACCGAUAGCGAAGGCAGCUUGCUGGGCCUGUACUGACGCUGAUGCACGAAAGCGUGGGGAUCGAACAG
rnacentral:rRNA from 1 species